GGCAGGAGAUGCUGUCAGGCAGCGCCAAACUCCAGCUGCUCGUGGGAGGAAGGGAAAGCAAGCAGAGACACAGCCUGCGGAAAACACAGCAAACCUCCCCCAACGCCUGGCAGCUAGGAGUGCCAGCAAGCAAAUAGAAAAGGCCAGUUUGGGACAUGAUAGCUCACGAGAAAUGCUGUGGCUUUGCUGUGGCUUCCAUAGACCAAUGUGCCUUUAGCGACCUCCCUGGUUUCUGAAGGAAACCUGCUGAAAGAUGGGAGCCCAAGCUUCUUCCCAAGGGACUCUUACCCAGCAGCUCCAUCGCUCCCCAGCCAGAAGCAAGGAUCGUGUUUCUGCUGGGCUCACAGAACCUGUGAUGAGCUAAACAAGAGCAUUACAUGCCUGUGGCACAACAGUAUGUAGAGGAGCAUCGCCAGCGAGCACUUCAUCUGGCCGAGCUUGCUGUAGCAAAGAAAUUCCUGUCUGCAGUGAAAGGACUUGUAAUUCUUCAGUGACUGGCAUGUGUGAACAAGCUGUUUAGGGGAAUUUGUAGCCCUGUCAUGUUGCAGCCCUCCCGAGCGAAACAAUACUGGUUCGGUGCUGCCUGGCUGAGUGAGGCUUUGCUGAUGUGAACAUGCAAGCCUGUCUUGGUGCUUUACCUGCUUCCCUCCUCUGCCUCUGAGACCUGGCCACCUCCCUGGCCCCUCUGGCCAGUGAUGCUGCAGGGAAGCGAGCUCUGGCUGUGGCAGAGUUGCAUUUGCUCCUUCCAGAGUGCCGCCUCCUUCAGCACCAUGCUGGCCGUCACGUUGAUUCCCCUGCUGCCAGUCUGCAGCCGUCCACACCCAUGCAGCUACACUCCCAUCCCUCAUCCUUCACAUUGACUCUGGCAAGCAGCAUCGGCAGCCACCGACCUGUGAGCUGUCCCUCUCCAACAUGCCAUUUCCAGUCACAACUCAGCAUGGACUCAACUCAUCCAUUGCAAGAAGAUCUCCCCGAGCCCCAUCCAGCAUCCAAGGUGACACCAGGCAGCUGGGGGAGCAAGAGGUUGCAAUGAUGCAGCACAGAGCUGCAAGGAGAAGUCCUGGAGAGGCUGCAGGACUCAUGCACACGUUUCUGCGGGCUGUGAGCAUCCUUGCAGGGAGGAUUUGGCUUACCACUGCCCUCCAAGCGCGGCUGCCAGCAGCGCUCGUGCCCCUGGGCAGCUCUCCCUGCGUGGGCUGCUCCCAUCAGAUGUGGCCCAGGCAGGAGGAGAGUUGUAAUUUUUAACUAACAAUGAAAAAAAAACACCAAAACAAAACAAAAAUCACUUGCUUGCCAUAUAAAUUGUGUUUACUAAGAGUGACUUAAAAUAGAUAAAUAUUUUCUUGGACGCAUUUUAAUUGCUUAAUAAAAGUCCCGAGAACACCCACAAAUACCUUAAAUAAAUGCAUGGCUCACGGAAUGAAUUAAUUAACA